rnacentral:rRNA from 1 species
GGAUAACAUGCCCUUAGGUGGAGGAUAAGCUCGGGAAACUGAGGAUAAUACUCCAUAGAUCAUGGGAGCUGGAAUGCCCCAUGGUCCAAAGUUCCGGCGCCUAAGGAUUGGUCUGCGGCCUAUCAGGUCGUAGUGGGUGUAACGGACCCACUAGCCUAUGACGGGUAUGGGCCUUGAGAGAGGGAGCCCAGAGAUGGACUCUGAGACACGAGUCCAGGCCCUACGGGGCGCAGCAGUCGCGAAAACUUCACACUGGGGGCAACCCCGAUGAGGGAAUUCCUAGUGCAUGCAUUUAAUGUAUGCUUUUCUUUAGUUUAGAAAGCUAAAGGAAUAAGGGCUGGGUAAGACGGGUGCCAGCCGCCGCGGUAAUACCCGCAGCCCAAGUGGUGGUCGAUAUUAUUGAGUCUAAAACGUUCGUAGCCUGUUCAAUAAAUCCUUGGGUAAAUCGGUGAGCUCAACUUACCGAAUUCCGAGGCGACUGUUGAACUUGGGACCGGGAGAGGUGAGAGGUACCUUGGGGGUAGGGGUGAAAUCUUGUGAUCCUCGAGGGACCACCAGUGGCGAAGGCGUCUCACCAGAACGGGUCCGACGGUAAGGGACG